UGGGGAAUAUUGCACAAUAGGGGAAACCCUGAUGCAGCGACGCCGCGUGAGUGAAGAAGUAUUUCGGUAUGUAAAGCUCUAUCAGCAGGGAAGAUAAUGACAGUACCUGACUAAGAAGCCCCGGCUAACUACGUGCCAGCAGCCGCGGUAAUACGUAGGGGGCAAGCGUUAUCCGGAUUUACUGGGUGUGAAGGGAGCGUAGACGGAGUGGCAAGUCUGAAGUGAAAACCCUGGGCUCAACCUGGGGACUGCUUUGGAAACUGUUAAUCUAGAGUGUUGGAGAGGUAAGUGGAAUUCCUGGUGUAGCGGUGAAAUGCGUAGAUAUCAGGAAGAACACCGGAGGCGAAGGCGGCUUACUGGACAAUAACUGACGUUGAGGCUCGAAAGCGUGGGGAUCAAACAGGAUUAGAUACCCUGGUAGUCCACGCUGUAAACGAUGAAUACUAGGUGUCGGGGAGCAAAGCUUCUCGGUGCCGUCGCAAACGCAAUAAGUAUUCCACCUGGGGAGUACGUUCGCAAGAAUG
rnacentral:rRNA from 1 species